UACGUAGGGUGCAAGCGUUAAUCGGAAUUACUGGGCGUAAAGCGUGCGCAGGCGGUUUUGUAAGUCUGUCGUGAAAUCCCCGGGCUCAACCUGGGAAUGGCGAUGGAGACUGCAAGGCUAGAGUUUGGCAGAGGGGGGUAGAAUUCCACGUGUAGCAGUGGAAAGUGCGUAGAUAUGUGGAGGAACACCGAUGGCGAAGGCAGCCCCCUGGGUCAAGACUGACGCCUCGAUGCACGAAAG
rnacentral:rRNA from 1 species